AUCAAAGUAGCGCAGUAGAAGCGUGGUGGGCCCAUAACCCAAAGGUCCCAGAAUCAAAACCUGACUUUGAUA
rnacentral:tRNA from 1 species